rnacentral:tRNA from 1 species
CCUUCGAUAGCUCAGUUGGUAGAGUGGAGGACUGUAGAUCCUUAGGUUGCUGGUUCGACUCCGGCGCGAAGGA